CUGAGCAAGUCUCUUGCGAUUGCUCCUGUCUUCUGCUUCUCUCUUCCUUCUUCUGGUCCACUUCCUGCUCCACAAGAUGCCCUGUGGGUGCCCCACAGUCCACAGUGUUCCAGUCUGUGGUCGCCCAGUUGAAGUAAUGAGUCCAUGUGGCUCACCCUGUGGCCCCGUCAGAACACCAGCGACUGCCUGUGGCGUACUUCCUGGAGCGAAUGUUUCAUGUGUUGGUCAGCUGCCGCCAUCAGAAGUAGUGAUAGUACAGCCUCCCAUUUCUACAGUUGUCCCAGGACGAGCUCUUGGCGGACCCUGCGGCCGUGUCCAUAUGGGAGGGCGCACUUCUUGUCGCCAUCCUGCAGGCGUUUGCUGUAUCCCUGUCUCUAGAUGCAGAUCGUGUAUGUGAAAGGAAAGUUCAUGUGAACGUGAACCACCACUGGCAAUUGAUUUAUUUGAUAUGGGUACACAGCUGAUCGUCUCAUUGGCCUGAGAGUUUGUAAAGUCCCGGCAACUCCAAUCGGAAACAAAAAUAACAGGAUUUCUGGAUGCUUGUCUUUUUCUUAAGUAUAUAUAUAUAUUAAAAAAAAACAAGAACUCACAGAGACAAAAAACAACAACCACCCAGUCAUUAAUGCAUGAAACGACAGUCUAAUUGAAAUAAAGGACUGUAACAAUCACAUGUCAAUGAGCAUGAACAUUCUAAGCCAUUAUGAAGAUUCCACAAGAAAUUACAAGUAUAUUUAACACAAUAUGAACUACAGACUCUACAGAGUAUGAAGCUGACAAGGGCAAUGUAGCCGAAUAGGAUGCUAUCUGAUGAUCAUGAGUUUUAAAGGAGAGGAUAAAUAAGCCAACUCCAUCUAUUAUUCUCUUCUCUAAAUCUUAAGAAGGCACACUGAAGGCAUCUGAAAUGUCACUGCAGUUGUCCACCUCUUCACUCAACGGCAAUGCGGCCAAUGAUAGGAGCCCUUUCAGAACAAAAUCUUUGUCAAGAAGCAUAUUCUCCCCAAGACAGUAAAA